GACGAACGCUGGCGGCGUGCCUAAUACAUGCAAGUAGAACGAGUUGCGAACGGGUGAGUAACGCGUGGUAACCUGCCUCAUAGCGGGGGAUAACUACUGGAAACGGUAGCUAAUACCGCAUACCAUCAGAUGUGCCCCGAUGGGAUUAGCUAGUAGGUGGGGUAACGGCUAACCAAGGCGACGAGCCCUAGCUGGUCUGAGAGGAUGACCAGCCACACUGGAACUGCGACACGGUCCAGACUCCUACGGGAGGCAGCAGUGGGGAAUAUUGCACAAUGGGCGCAAGCCGGAGGCAGCCAUGCCGCGUGUAUGAAGAAGGCCUUCGGGUUGUAAAGUACUGUCAGCGGGGAGGCGUUACCCGCAGAAGAAGCACCGGCUAACUCCGUGCCAGCAGCCGCGGUAAUAC
rnacentral:rRNA from 1 species